rnacentral:ribozyme from 1 species
AUUAAUUUAUAUUUUAUUAUUUUUCUAUUGAGUCAAGACUAACUGAUGCAAUAUCUAAGACAAAUUCAUACAGUCAUUCAUUCAUGUGUGUGUGCGUGUGUGUUUUGUUUAGUUAUGGUUUCAAGAAUGAAGACACUGAAAAGA